CCUACGGGAGGCAGCAGUAAGGAAUAUUGGUCAAUGGACGAAAGUCUGAACCAGCCAUGCCGCGUGAAGGAUUAAGGCCCUCUGGGUUGUAAACUUCUUUUAUCUGGGACGAAAAAAGGGUAUUCUUACUCACUUGACGGUACCAGAGGAAUAAGCACCGGCUAACUCCGUGCCAGCAGCCGCGGUAAUACGGAGGGUGCAAGCGUUAUCCGGAUUUACUGGGUUUAAAGGGUGCGUAGGUGGGCUUGUAAGUCAGUGGUGAAAUCUCCGGGCUUAACCCGGAAACUGCCAUUGAUACUAUAGGUCUUGAAUUAUCUGGAGGUAAGCGGAAUAUGUCAUGUAGCGGUGAAAUGCUUAGAUAUGACAUAGAACACCAAUUGCGAAGGCAGCUUACUACGGAUAUAUUGACACUGAGGCACGAAAGCGUGGGGAUCAAACAGGAUUAGAUACCCUGGUAGUCCACGACCUAACGAUGAUACUCACAUCAGCGANACACUGUUGUGUNUG
rnacentral:rRNA from 1 species